GAACGCUGGCGGCAUGCCUAACACAUGCAAGUCGAACGGCAGCACAGCAGUAGCAAUACGUGUGGGUGGCGAGUGGCGGACGGGUGAGGAAUACGUCGGAAUCUGCCCAGUCGUGGGGAUAACUAGCCGAAAGGUUAGCUAAUACCGCAUACGACCGAGAGGUGAAAGCGGGGACCGCAAGGCCUCGCGCGAUUGGAUGAGCCGACGUCGGAUUAGCUAGUUGGCGGGUAAAGGCCCACCAAGGCGACGAUCCGUAGCUGGUCUGAGAGGAUGAUCAGCCACACUGGAACUGAGACACGGUCCAGACUCCUACGGGAGGCAGCAGUGGGGAAUAUUGGACAAUGGGCGCAAGCCUGAUCCAGCAAUGCCGCGUGUGUGAAGAAGGCCUUCGGGUUGUAAAGCACUUUUAUCAGGAACGAAAAGCGUUGGAUUAAUACUCUGACGUGCUGACGGUACCUGAGGAAUAAGCACCGGCUAACUUCGUG
rnacentral:rRNA from 1 species